AUUUUAUUAGCUAGUUAUUAAAUCAAGUUAUAUUUGAUAAUUAAUAUUUAAUGUCUUUAUCAUAUUGAUAGAUGACAACACACACUCUCCCAUUUAUUUUCCUUAUAUACUUCCCAGUCUAAUCACCCAGCCCAGGGCACUUCCUCGUGUUGAGACGUAUGUUGCUCUUUUUCCUGGUGUGUUUUCUCUGCAUCAAUAAAUUGCCGUAAUUUUAAUCAUGCUAUGCUUCAACAUCGCUACUAUGGAAAUACUGUUGCUAAAGAAAUUCCAUCCAGGAUAGGUAAGUUUAUCUAUUAUAUUUAUUUGCUAUUAUCAUAAAAAGUAUUAAAUGAUCUAGGAAGUCAACGGAGUUAUAUAUUUAAUCAUUCUAUAUUCUACUUCCCCCUCCCCUAUCAUUUCAUUUAUUACAAAUGUUUGCAUAGCUCUUACAUUUGAUAAUUGAUGCCACUAAAACCAUAUUAGUAGGUAAGUAAUACAAAUGUUACUUGUCUAUUUCAGUAAUUAAUAAUAGAAAAUUCAUAAUUUUCUUACAAUUUACAUUACUUUUUUUUUUUAAUUUGUGUACAAUUUAUUCAUAUAUAGGUGUUUCCCUAUAAACAGUACAAAUUAUAAAAAAACAAAAUUUUAAUAGGAUAGAAAUACCGAUAAUUACAAUACGGUUGAAGAGACAUUAGUGACUCGUGACAAAAUAUUUUUUCAUGGUGAGACUAACGUCAGGUCAAUAAAAUAAAAAUCGUAGAUACUUACGUUUGAAGAACAAAUUCUCAUCAACUAGAAACGAGAAAGGCGCAAAUCCCGACAAAACGCACACUACGACUACUUAUUAACUAUAAAUAUGUCGAGAAGUAUGAUAAUUAAUAAUUAACGUACUGUUUCAGGGUACAUGAAGAUUCACACAAGGUUUAACGAAACGCUCAAACCGACGAUGGCCCCAAAAAACGGAUAUUAGCCAAUAUGGAGAAAGAUGAACACGAUUUACAACAAACAUAGAAUGAUUAUUUUGCCGGCACUAUAAUCUUAAUAAAACAGAUUAGAUGUAAUAAUCAU